rnacentral:lncRNA from 1 species
GGAUUUUUAGUUGAUUAGUACGAGAUUUAGUAAAUAUUUUUUCAUUCUUUUAUUGUGAUGUAUUGCUCUUUAGGCAUUCGAAUUUUAAAUUUAGUUUUCAAAUCCAACAAGUAGAGAACUAAAUUUCUAAAGAGUGCAUACCAACAAGUAUUGAGCGGUGAUAAGACACAUUGCGUUUUAAAGAGAGAACUCAAGUUCAAACACGGAAG